UACGUAGGUGACAAGCGUUGUCCGGAUUUACUGGGCGUAAAGAGCGCGCAGGCGGUCGAUCAAGUCGAGUGUGAAAGCCCCCGGCUCAACUGGGGAGGGUCAUCGAUACUGAUCGACUCGAAGGCAGGAGAGGGUAGUGGAAUUCCCGGUGUAGUGGUGAAAUGCGUAGAUAUCGGGAGGAACACCAGUGGCGAAGGCGACUACCUGGCCUGUUCUUGACGCUGAGGCGCGAAAGCCGGAGGCAGAGGGAUUAAGAAACCCGG
rnacentral:rRNA from 1 species